UUGACAUCUGACCUCAAAUCCAGGA
rnacentral:rRNA from 1 species